CACGCCCUUCUCCCAGCCCUGACUCCUGGCAACCGCUGGUCUGCUCUUCAUCGCCCUAGCUUUGUCUUUCAAGAAUGCUGUGUAAAUGGAAUCAUACAACACAUAACCUUUUGAGACUGGCUUCUUUCACUCAGUUGUUCCAUGUAUCAGUGAUGUUGGUUGGCCUCAUCUCCCCAAGCUGUCUAGAAGCUGCUUAAGGGCAGGCCCCACAACUGGUUGGUUCAUCUCUAUGUCCGCAGUGCAAAACGUCGCAUCUCUUAAGGCAAUUAGUGUCUGUCCGAAUUCUUGGGGAAGCUGAGGAAACCAGGGCUGUGACUGUAAUAUUCUGCUGUACCUAUGAUCUGUGCCCAUGAUGCUCUGCUGUAUCCAUGAUGCUGUGCCCAUGAUGCCAUGUCAUGCUCUCUGUACCUUGCCAUGCCUGUGACACUAUGCCCUCUCCCUGGGAUUCUGCAGUCUUCCUGGCUGCUCUAGAAGCCAGGGAGAUUCCACCCCAUGUAAAAUGCUCCUGGGGUGGCCUGCUGACCUGGAUUCUCCUCUCAACAUCUUGAGCCCAACCACCUCUGCUGUCAAACUACACAUGGCCCAGGUGACUUCUCUCACAAAUGGGAGAGGGAAUCAGAGCAUUUCAUAGUCAGAGCAGAGGCCCUGGGGAGAUGCCCAUCUGCAGCAGACUUGGGACAACUGAUCCAAUUCAAGUCCAUCAUUGUGCAGAGUGGGAUUGUGAGCCUCAGAGUGGAGAGAAGAUUCAUCCAACUGUGGGUUCGGUGCCAGCCAGAGUGGGACUCCACCCUGACUCCCAGUUCAGAGCUCAUUUUGGUGGGGGGUCCUGAAGUUCUACCAUCAUAGUUACCCCUUGCUUGGGUCUCCAAAAUGUCCCUGUUCCAAUGUAUAUCUGUUACUUAAAUAACACAUUUGCAACAUAGCUAUCAGAGGGGUUGGUUUUUAUUUAGAAAGAAGCUAAUAAGUUAUAUUUUAUUUAUUAUAAAGACAAAAUUGUAACAGCACAAAUGAAAAUAUUAUUAAUAAAAGAAAUUCUUUCUGCCACCCUAAUCAUGUUUCAUUUGUUCACAUUACUUAAUGUCAUUCUAACAUACACACUUUAUGUGUACAUUUAUGCGUACAGCUGUAACCUUUUUAUAUACAUUUUAUCAUCUUUUUUCACUCAAUGUUUAUUUUUUCUAUUUUUAAGGAGCUGAAUUCAGAAGACAAUGUUAUACAUUUAUAUAGCUUUCUACCUUCUGCACAGUAUUUCAUCAAGUAAGUAAACCAUGACACCUUCAUAGUUUUUGUAUCAUGAAAUAUUUUAAUCAUACAGAAAAUCGCAAGGAACAAUAUACCACACAUAUUUAACAAAUAUUGAUAUUUAAAAAAUAUUUCUAAGCUUGGCAUAGUGGUGUGUGCCUAUAGUUCCAGCUACUCACUUGGGAGGCUGAGGCAGGAGGAUCGCUUGAGCCCAGGAAUUUUAGGCUGUGGUGUGCUAUGCUGAUUAGGUAUCUGCACUAAGUUUGGGAUAAAUAUGAUGACCUCCUGGGAGCAGGGGACCACUAGGUUGCCUAAUGUGCGGUGAACCAGCCCAGUCUGGAAAUGGAGCAAGUCAAAAUUCCCGUGCUGAUUAGUUGAGGGAUGGCAUCUGUGAAUAGCUAUGGCUUUCCAUCCUGGGCAACAUAGCGAGACCCUGUCUCUUAAAAAAAAUAAAGAUACAUUUACAGGUACAGUUGGAGCUUUCCUCUGCAUGAUGUACUCAAGUCCCUCCCAGGAUGGACUAUAUAAUUUUCAGGGCCCAGUGCAAAAUGGAAAUGCAGGGACCCUUAUUCAAAAAUCAUGAUGAGUUUCAAGACAGCAACAGCAGAGCAUUAAACCAAGCACAGAGCCCUUCUAAGUACAGGUCUUAGUGCUACUGCACAGGUGACAGCUGUGCUACAUCCAGGCAGCCAGCUCUAAUUCCGCAUCUCCUCUCACUUUCUUAACAUUGAUCUGUGUCUUUGUUGUCCCAUGUUUAUGCUUUUACUUCAUAUACAUGCAUAGACCAAUAUUAUGGAGUAUUGUGUUACAUGUUUUAAAAUAUUGCAUAAAUGGCAUCAUAUUGUCUGUAUCCUUAGGUUGCUUGUCUUACUCUUUUUGAGAGGUAUCUGUGUGGAAUCAUGGAGAUGUUAUUCAUUUUCACUGUCGCCUAAUAAUCCAUUGUGAGAUCUCACCACAGUUCAUUUAUCCAGUACCCUACAUUUUUAUCAUAAUUAACAGUACUAAGGUGAACAUCCUUGGGCACAGUUCUCUGUGCAUGUAUGUGAGUUUCUGUCUAUCUGUCACUAGGUGUGGAAUUGAACUGCUCUGCCUUGCUGGAUGUUGAAGUUAUUUCCAAGUUUUUGCUUGGCAUCAAUGUGCUCCCCUGGGGUGCCUCCCUUUGGAUGUUCCUAAGUCAUCUGAAAAGCUUCCCUUGGGAGACUUUCCUCUGAGCUACCUUUCUUUUAAGAUCACCAUCCACACAGUCAGAAACUGUGUGUCCUGACCCUUUCCUUUUAUUCCCUCACCACUUCUAACCUAUUGCCAAAGCCUAUGGAUUCCCACUCUAAAAUAUGGCUUUAACCCAUCCUUCCUCCAUUUCCUUCCUGCUACUUCUGUUAUCUUGGCUCGGGAACCCCCCUCCCCUAGACUCCUUUUCCAACUCCUAACUUGUCCCUCAACCCCCCCAGUCUCCAGCCCCCCAACUUUCUCCACUGAAGGACUUAUUACACCCUACCAAGUUGCAUGGUGACAUGGUGACAUGCAGUGCUCCCAUGAACAUUGUAGAGAUCAGAGCUGUGAGUUACAUGACAGCAAAGAUUGCAUCAUAGUCACCAUUUGUGGACCUGUAGCAUGGUACCUGGUACCCAACAGAAUCUAAAAAUAUCUGUUGAAUCAAAGUCCGAAUAAACAUCAUGCUGUCAUUUUCCUAUCUUUUGGAUGACUCAGGAUAAAUUCGCCAAAGGAGCAUUAUUGAUGACUUAGGAUAAUGAACAUAAAGUUCAUAGUCCUGUGUAAACUGAAUUUGAUCCACACAAAACUUUAGGUCAGUUGAGACCAGCAUGGGCAACAGAGUGAGACCCUGUCUCUACAAAAAUAUAAAUAAGUUAGCUGGACAUGGUGGCGUGCCUAUCGUUCUUACUACUUGGGAGGCUAAGCAGGGAGGAUCACUUAAGCCCAGGAGCUUGGAGCUGCAGUGAACUAUGAUCACACUACCGCACUCCAGUCUGUGACAGAACGAGACCUUGUCUCUAAAUAAAAAUAUAUAAUUUAAAAAACUCUAGGUCAGGUGUGAGAGAUAGGAUGACCCUUAGCAAGAAGUGGUUUUCCCAAGAUCCCAAAGCCAGUAAGAGACAAAGUAUAAAGAGCAACAGGUACUCAGGUAUUCUUUCCACCUGCUUGUCCUAUUUCAUAGGUGUCCUAAAUUUAGUUUAGAAAUAACUAAAUAUAAACUAUGUUGCCUUUUAAUGUCGGGUGACUGUCUCUUUAAAUCUUGCUGUUUUAACACAAAUAUACUUCAUUCUAAUGUGUAUAUAUAUAUAAUAUGUAUAUAUAUUUAAAUAAUAACCUGAUAGAAUUUGUAUCUCUCUAGAAAAGAAAGAACUCUCAUCUCGGGGCCUUUGUUUAUCCAUCUAUUAAAUGGGCAUAAGGAGGGUCCUUCUAGGAUCUUUUGCUCUGUGAGUAGAUAAGGAAAAAGCACACUUUUCUAUCCCUAUCUAAUUUUGUUGCUCCCAUGCUCUGUGCAGUCAUUUAUGGGGCUGAGGAGGAUGAAGGAGGAGGAUUUAUGGGGCUCUUGCAAAACUGGGAAACAGUAAUAGCUGACAUUAUAGCUGCCAGUGCCCCUUACCUGCUGAUUUGAAAGCCCUUUAAUCACUUGUAGCUUAUGAAACAGAAAGUGAUCUGCUAGCUAUUUCCCCCAAAUGCGUUGGUGAGUUCAUAGGUUAACCCUACAGGAAGGAGACAGCAUUGCUAAACACAAGAAGAGCCUUACUUACUUCAUGGGCUUUCAAGUGUCAAGGGCCCCAAUCCUUGACUCUGAGACCCUCAAAUGAUACCAUCUAGCUGAUGUUGUUCUAAAGGGUCAGCCCUGAGGAGAAGUUCAUCCUAUGGAAGUCACCUGAGCACUCCACAUACCAUCUGAAGCCCUGGCUUCCAGUUCUGGCUCUGCCACUAAAGGGCUGUGUGACCUCAGCCACAUUCCUCCACAUUUACAGUGAAGCUGGUGGAAAACACGUUUCCACUGCCCCUCCACAGUUCUAAAGUUCUAUCAUUCAAUGGGAGGUGGAGAUGGUUCUCAGCAUCAACAAUACAAAGCAGGGAGAUUUUUAGUUCCUCUUGGCCUGAGUCCCUGCCUCCUGGACAGAAGCUGGGAAAUAGAUGAGCAUCUGGCUCCCUGGCCUGGGUCACAGAAUCACAGAAUCGUGGGUGGCUGGCAGGAAGCCUCUGCGUUUGCCAAGACCCACGUCCUACCUCCCUCCCUCAUUCAACACAAAUUUACUAAGCAGUUGCGUUGAGUAGAAUGUGGGCAGAGAUGGCGGCUGUUGUGUUCACCAAUUUAUCCAUGGCAUCUAGCGCAGUGGCUGGCACAUAGUAGCUGCUCACUACAUAUCUGCUGAAUGAUGUCUCAUCUCCUACAGUAGGGGAGCCUAUUAAGCACAGAUUCCUGGGCCCACCCCAGACCUACUGAAUUGGAAUCUCUGGCGUUAGUGUCCAAGUGACUGUCAUGCCCUCCAGAGUCUGAGAACCACAGCUGUAUGUAGUGUCUGAAUAAAGCAUCAUCUUAUUAUUGGAAAGGAGAAAAUGCUGAUGUUUCAACUUUUGAGCAUUUGUCGGUAGUGACUAAAAUAUUCAAGUCAAAUAGGUUCAUUUUGCUGUAGCCAUUUCCAUGGAGCCUGGGGAGCUCUGGGCUUUGCACUAGGUAUGCACAGGGCUCACUUUCACUAAUCUUGAGGGAGGCGAGGCUGAUAAAAAAGGCAGAGAAGAUAGGAGUCAAGCCACACAAUGUCCAAGCUUGGCAUUAUUAUUGCCCUUCACUUGGAAGUUAUCAAACAGGACACGCGCUGCCCUUCUAGCUUUCCUGGGGAGGUUAGAUGCUAUGAGACUUUUCACACUCCCUUUCCAGUGUCUGUGGCUCAGACCAUGUACACACCCAGGUUCAAAUCUGAGCUGUUGUCUCUAUGUAGUCUGGGGCCAAUCACUUUAACCCCCUUUAAACUUUUGUUUCUUUAGUCAUAAAAUGGACAUCAUGAUUUACCCUACGGAGGGUUGCUGGAAGGAUUAGAGAUGCUAUAAACUCAGGCGUUGGGCACAUGCUCAGUACAGAAAAGCCCUAAGGUUUGGUUGAUGUCUAUAAACUGCCAUAACAUCCGGGCUGCAGGACUCUGUAGAGGUUCAUCUAGGCUAGCUCCUUCUUCUUUUUUUUUUUUUUUGAGACGGAGUCUUGCUCUGUCGCCCAGGCUGGAGUGCGAUGGCACAAUCUCAGCUCACUGCAGCCUCCGCCUCCUGGGUUCAAGCAAUUCUCCUGACUCAGCCUCCCUAGUAGCUGGGACUACAGGCGGGGGCCACCACGCCCUGCUAAUUUUUUGUAUUUUUAGUGAGAUGAGGUUUCACCCUGUUAGCCAGGAUGGUCUAGAUCUCCUGACCUCAUAAUCAGCCUGCCUCAGCCUCCCAAAGUGCUGGGAUUAUAGGCGUGAGCCACUGCGCCCGGACUGCUCCUUCUUUUUUUUUUUGAGAGGAAGUCUCGCUCUUGUCCCCAGGCUGGAGUGCGCCCAACUGACCACUCCUUCGUUUUUUUGUUUUUUGUUUUUGAGACGAAGUCUUGCUCUU
rnacentral:lncRNA from 10 species